rnacentral:rRNA from 1 species
GCGGACGGGUGCGUAACACGUAGCUACUUGCCCCACAGUGGGGGAUAACCCGGGGAAACCCGGGCUAAUACCGCAUACACCCGAGAGGGGAAAGCCGAAAGGCGCUGUGGGAUAGGGCUGCGGCGUAUCAGGUAGUUGGUGGGGUAACGGCCUACCAAGCCUAUGACGCGUAGCUGGUCUGAGAGGAUGAUCAGCCACACUGGAACUGAGACACGGUCCAGACUCCUACGGGAGGCAGCAGUGGGGAAUCUUGGGCAAUGGGGGAAACCCUGACCCAGCAACGCCGCGUGGAGGAAGACGCCCUUCGGGGUGUAAACUCCUUUUGCAGGGGAAG